GUGGUUUCCGUGCGCACGUGCGUGUGAGCGUGCGGAGAUUGCGUGGCCGUGUGUCCAUUACGUACCGCGAGUUCUGUUGGCGCAUCAAUAGGUGCUCGCUAACAGCACUUGCCCCGGCAGUCACUGCAAGACUUUGACUGCGUGGGGCUCAACGUCACCUCGGACUCGUACAGCCGCUUACAAGGCACAGAAGUGAGAAUAUUUCUGCAUGGAGCGGCAGACGCAGAGGACACGGGCUCGCGUUUAUGAUGAUGUCAUGGGUUGGCCAAUGCUAAGGCGAUGGAGCUGCUGACGGAUGUGCUGUGGAGGCAAGACGAGGACUUGGGCGCGAACCGAGACCUGUUUCACGGGGGCCCCAAACCCCGCGCCACCCUUCCGCUUCGCAAGCGCCCUCCUCCCAUCGUGGGGGGGGCCGCAGCGCUGCGGGCUGUCACCGGCGGUCCGUGCCCCGGUGGGCCCUGCCCCUUCGACUGCCUCGGGCCGUGCCCCUGCGCCUGCCACUGCCCUGGG